rnacentral:rRNA from 1 species
AUUGAACGCUGGCGGCAGGCCUAACACAUGCAAGUCGAACGAGUGGCGGACGGGUGAGUAAUGUCUGGGAAACUGCCUGAUGGAGGGGGAUAACUACUGGAAACGGUAGCUAAUACCGCAUACCAUCAGAUGUGCCCAGAUGGGAUGAGCUUGUUGGUGGGGUAACGGCUCACCAGGGCGACGAUCCCUAGCUGGUCUGAGAGGAGGACCGGCCAACCUGGAACUGAAACACGGUCCAGACUCUUACGGGAGGCAGCAGUGGGGAAUAUUGCACAAUGGGCGCAAGCCUGAUGCAGACAUGCCGCGUGUAUGAGGAAGGCCUUGGGGUGGUAAAGUACUUUCAGCGGGGAGGCGUUACCCGCAGAAGAAGCACCGGCUAACUCCGUGCCAGCAGCCGCGGUAAUUC